rnacentral:tRNA from 1 species
GCAGUCGUGGCCGAGUGGUUAAGGCGAUGGACUAGAAAUCCAUUAGGGUCUCCACGCACAGGUUUGAAUCCCGUCGGCUGCG